GGCUUUACCAAAGCCCGCUAUCCCAGACCAGAGAAACGCCACGAUGCAUCCGGGCAAAGGCGCUGAGCAUGUGUUUAUCUUGGCAACAUUCGAGCGGCAGAGCGGUGUUGAGAUAUCCUCUCGCCUGUCAAAUUGUCAAUUGCCUUGACAAUUUGAUCGAGGGGUUGAAAUUCAGGAUGUUUGAGUGGGGAUUCGGAAUAUACAUGCAUCCAGAGCAUAUAUAGAACUUCUCUCUUAGCCUCCGACAACACAAUAUUUGUGGGAUAGGGAAUCGGAGGAUCAAUGAUCAACAACAAUAUUUCUCUAUUUCCAGGACCUGUGGGGCCUGUGGGAUGGGAGGAGGACCCAGUUCUAGAAUUCCUUUUUGCCUUUUGAGUUUUGAAGUUUUGACCUUAUUUUUCUAACAAGGACCUAGGAAAUGAAAAGGGACAAGUGAAAAUUCAACUGACGGUUUAGUAGAGAGCGUAGUGCACUGUAGAUAGUACCUCUCCUAGGUCAUUUCGCAGCUGCUACGGCCUGGUGGAGCGAUGUUCGACCUUACAGAGAAAUAAACUGACCAAGAAGAGAAAGAAAGCUGGAUGGAUCUUAAAGCACAUUCAAAUAGUAUCAACCACCACCAAAACAAAUAUGUCAUCAAUCUUUUAUGUAGUAGUUGUUGAUAGAGGUGGAAAGGUUGGUUCAUUGUAUGUAGCUCUCUCGCAGACGCAGCAGCUUUUCAAGAGCCCAGUGCCACCAGCGCCGUUCGGGGACGAACCGUUCAAUCCAAUCCCUCCAAUAACUAUUUAGCCAGAUGUUAGACGCCGUUAGAUGCAAUUCCCAAUUUAAACGACCUGUGAUUCAGCGGUGUUGCCGCCCAAGUUAUCGCACUCGUCGACAGGAGACAAUACCCGGCUACAUGGCUAGGGCGAAUUAUGAACCGUGACACUGCCUUGCCCUCCAGGUCAACUCUGCCAGGGAGCAGGCCCGCAAUUUCGCGAGGCUGGACGAAGCAUGAAACAGGGCAUCCGGAACCCGAUCGCUGCAGUUCAUGCUCCCUUCUCGAUCUUCCUAGCGAACUACACCUGCAGCUCAUGUCAUGGCUCGACUUCCGCGACAUACAAAUGCUGCGCGCCACAAACAGCUACUUUCGGCAUCUUCCAUCAGACAC
rnacentral:sRNA from 1 species